rnacentral:rRNA from 1 species
CAAAGAGAGGAUGCUUUCAGGUCUCUUGUUAAAAAUUGUGGGCUGUUUGAUAUUGGUUAUAGUGGUCCUGCUUAUACUUGGCGUGGUAGGCAACAUACUUCUAAGCCCAUUCAUAGACGUCUUGAUCGAUGCUUGGUCAAUUCUAAUUGGUACGCUUUUUAUCCUAAUACUAAAGUGCUGAAUCUUCCUAUUAUUCUUGGUGACCAUGCUCCCAUUUUAAUUUCCUCGGAAGGUAAACUUGCUAGGCCUAGAAAUCUUUUAAAUUUGAAAACUGGUGGCUUAUGGAAAAAGAUUUUCACUCUUUUGCUAAAAAUAAUUGGAUUUCUAGUUCCCUGA